rnacentral:rRNA from 1 species
ACAACUUUCAACAACGGAUCUCUUGGCUCUCGCAUCGAUGAAGAACGCAGCGAAAUGCGAUAAGUAAUGUGAAUUGCAGAAUUCAGUGAAUCAUCAAAUCUUUGAACGCAUCUUGCGCUCCUUGGUAUUCUGAGGAGCAUGCCUGUUUGAGUGUCAUUAAA